rnacentral:tRNA from 1 species
UCCCUGGUGGUCCAGUGGCUAAGACUUUGUGCUCCCAAUGCAAAGGGCUGGGUUCAAUCCCUGGUCAGGGAA